UAUGCCGGCCAUAGGGCUCGGGAUCCACCUGAACCCAUUCCGAACUCAGAAGUUAAACCGUGCUCCGUUUCCAGCGUUAGUGUGGUCUUCGGCCAUGCGAAUCUGGAGAAGCUGGCAACC
rnacentral:rRNA from 1 species